rnacentral:rRNA from 1 species
AGCAGCCGCGGUAAUUCCAGCUCCAAUGGCGUAUAUUAAAGUUGUUGCAGUUAAAAAGCUCGUAGUUGAACUUCAGGCCUGGCUGGACGGUCCGCCCUCUGGGUGAGCACUGUCUGUGGUCGGGUCCUACCUUCUGGCGAAGCGGCAUGGCCUUAACCGGCCGUGGCGGGGAACCAGGACUUUUACUGUGAAAAAAUUAGAGUGUUCAAAGCAGGCACGCGCUUGAAUACAUUAGCAUGGAAUAAUGGAAUAGGACAAUGGUUCUAUUUGUUGGUUUCUAGGACCGUUGUAAUGAUUAAUAGGGAUAGUUGGGGGCAUUAGUAUUCAAUUGUCAGAGGUGAAAUUCUUGGAUUUAUUGAAGACUAACUACUGCGAAAGCAUUUGCCAAGGAUGUUUUCAUUAAUCAAGAACGAAAGUUAGGGAUCGAAGACGAUCAGAUACCGUCGUAGUCGUUAACCAUAAACUAUGACCGACUAGGGGUCGGAUGAUGUUAUUUUUAAUGUACUUCUAUUCGGCGCCU